CAAAUAGAUAGGUGAUCUUCAAGCAUUUCAAAGAUGUACAGAAUAUGGCAUUUAUAAUGUUUUACUAACUUAGAAUUCUUUUAACAUGAGACACAUCUGUUUCUGGCAACACUGAUCUACUCUAGAGAGAAUGAUAGGCAUCAAAGACAUUCUAUAUGGAGUUUGUUUUCCUUUUGGCAAAACUUCCUACUGGGCAAGAAACUGCCCUUGCCUCGACUGCUGACAGUAAGCACAAUGUCCAAUCUGGACAAGCAGAACACAAGGAAAAGCGACUUUGGCCAAACUUUGACAAGACAAGAAGUCUUCACAUUCUGCAAAAUCACUCUCUGAAAAAAAACACAGGAUUCAUGAAGGGAAGCAGAGCUGGGACACUUUUCUCAACACCUUUGUAACCUUGUUACCAGAAUCUCCCCCAACAGCCAAGCCUAUAAUGAGGACCCAGAACAGCAAAUCAAAAAUUAUCCCAGCUGCUAUUCAGAGAUGGAGCAACUAUGGCCCUUGAUGCUUAGGGACAACAUCUCUGUAGCUCCUUUGGUGCCUUCUGGACUUCUGCUUUAAUGGCAUGGAAGCCGCUAAGACAGCCAGAACUUGCACACAAAUUUGGUGCAUCCGUAACAUUUCCAGCUUUCUCUUACUACUUCCUCAUCUGUUCCUCUUUACUCAUAAGGAAGUUUAUCCCAACCUAUCAAAACCACCAACGAGCCUGCAUGACUUUCCCAGGACCA